rnacentral:rRNA from 1 species
AUUGAACGCUGGCGGCAUGCUUUACACAUGCAAGUCGAACGGUAACAGGCCUUCGGGUGCUGACGAGUGGCGAACGGGUGAGUAAUGCAUCGGAACGUACCCAGAGUUGGGGGAUAACGCAGCGAAAGCUGUGCUAAUACCGCAUGUGAUCUGAGGAUGAAAGCGGGGGACCGAGCAGCAAUGUUUGGCCUCGCGCCUUUGGAGCGGCCGAUGUCGGAUUAGCUAGUUGGUGGGGUAAAGGCCUACCAAGGCGACGAUCCGUAGCUGGUCUGAGAGGACGACCAGACACACUGGGACUGAGACACGGACCAGACUCCUACGGGAGGCAGCAGUGGGGAAUUUUGGACAAUGGGCGCAAGCAUGAUCCAGAAAUGCCGAGUGAGGGAAGAAGGCCUUCGGGUUGUAAACCGCUUUUGGCAGGAACGAAAAGGUGUACGAUAAUACCGGGAGAUAAUGACGGUACCUGAAGAAUAAGCACCGGCUAACUACGUG